rnacentral:lncRNA from 1 species
GGCUUUGGGGUCUUCCAUCUUUGGGGUCUUCCAUCUUUGGGAUCUUCCACCAUUGAGAUCUUCUCCCAUUGGGAUCUUCUCCCAUUGGGAUCUUCCCCCAUUGGGAUCUUCCAUCAUUGGGGUCUUCCCCCCAUUGGGGUCUUCCCCCAUUGGGAUCUUCCAUCCAUGGGUUUGGGAUCUUCUCCUCUUGGUGCCCCAUGGGGUUGGGAUCCCGGUGUCUUUGGGGUCUCCAUUUUUGGGGGAUCCCAAUGUCAUUGGGUUUGGGAUCUUCCAUCCAUGGGGUUGGGAUCUUCCACCAUUGGGGUCUUCCAUCCCUGGUGCCCCAUGGUUGUGGGAUCUCAGUGGUUUUGGGGUCUCCAUCUUUGGGGGUUCCCGAUGUCGUUGGGUUUGGGAUCUUCUCCUCUUGGUGCCCCAUGGGGUUGUGGGAUCCGGGUGGCUUUGGGGUCUCCAUUUUUGGGGGAUCCCAAUCAUGUUGGGUUUGGGAUCUUCCCCCAUUGGGAUCUUCCAUCAUUGGGGUCUUCCGUCCAUGGGUUUGGGGUCUUCCCCCCUUGGGAUCUUCCCCCCUCGGGAUCUUCCAUCAUUGGGGUCUUCCAUCCAUGGGUUUGGGAUCUUCCAUCAUUGGGAUCUUCCACCAUUGGGGUCUUCCAUCCACGGGUUUGGGGUCUUCCCCCAUUGGGAUCUUCCCCCAUUGGGAUCUUCCCCCAUUGGGAUCUUCCAUCA